rnacentral:tRNA from 1 species
CCUCCUUAAACGAAUAUCCUUACGGUUAGUAAGUGUUCACACGCAUUGCUUGAUUAUUUAUGACUAGCAGUAAAGUACGGUAUGGCGACCGGGCUGCUUAGACCUGGUUGUUUUUGAAUUGGGUCUGUAGCUCAGUUGGUUAGAGCGCACCCCUGAUAAGGGUGAGGUCGGUGGUUCAAAUCCACCCAGACCCACCAAUUCCCAAAAUUUGGGGCCUUAGCUCAGCUGGGAGAGCGUCGCCCUUGCACGGCGAAGGUCAACGGUUCGAUCCCGUUAGGCUCCACCACUUUACUGCAUCANAAGUUAGCGAUAA